GUCUACCAGAUCAAUGAUCAAUCUCUCCAUUUGUUCGUCGAUUACAAUGUCUCUUUUUCUGUAUUCUUCUUAGAUAAUUGCAACAUGACGGCAAAUUUUCUCCAAAUCAGAAACUGUUAUAUCUGCCACUGCUUCAUGCGCAAGUUUUAAAACAUCGUCAAUCCUGUAGGUAACGUUUCUUGAGGCGACACUUUGUUUUACUUGGUUCCAUAUCAGUUCUAUUAGAUUAGGUGUGGAAUAAGGAGGGAGGCGUAAAAUUUCAUGUCCUCUCUCUCUGGCGAUAUUGUCUAUAACAUAUUUUGGCGUUUGGUUGUUGGCUUUUGCUAAAGCAAGAAGCUGUGGACGGAGAAGUUUAUUGUCAAACUGUAUUUCGUGUAAUCGAAGAUAAGCCUAAAUAUCUGCUUUCUUGUUAUUUGUUGUAGGACAUUUGUCAAACUGUACAGAAUGUUAUGAUGCAUUGUCCAUUAUUAUAACGCUCUUUCGGGUAGGUUGCUCAAAAGUUUUUCUGUAAACCACUUUUUAAAGUUCUCACCAUUUAUCUCGUGAUGGUAGUCACCAGUACACGAUUUAGCCUUGUAAAUCAGUAAUGCAUUUGGUACAAAUCCCAACAUUCAGCCCC
rnacentral:lncRNA from 1 species